rnacentral:rRNA from 1 species
AUUGAACGCUGGCGGCAUGCCUUACACAUGCAAGUCGAACGGCAGCACGGGAGCAAUCCUGGUGGCGAGUGGCGAACGGGUGAGUAAUAUAUCGGAACGUGCCCGGUCGUGGGGAUAACGUAGCGAAAGCUACGCUAAUACCGCAUACGAUCUACGGAUGAAAGCGGGGGAUCGCAAGACCUCGCGCGAUUGGAGCGGCCGAUAUCAGAUUAGGUAGUUGGUGAGGUAAAGGCUCACCAAGCCGACGAUCUGUAGCUGGUCUGAGAGGACGACCAGCCACACUGGGACUGAGACACGGCCCAGACUCCUACGGGAGGCAGCAGUGGGGAAUUUUGGACAAUGGGCGCAAGCCUGAUCCAGCAAUGCCGCGUGCAGGAUGAAGGGCCUUCGGGUUGGUAAACUGC